GAUGAACGCUGGCGGCGUGCCUAAUACAUGCGAGUCGAGCGAACGGACGAGAAGCUUGCUUCUCUGAUGUUAGCGGCGGACGGGUGAGUAACACGUGGAUAACCUACCUAUAAGACUGGGAUAACUUCGGGAAACCGGAGCUAAUACCGGAUGAUAUUUUGAACCGCAUGGUUCAAAAGUGAAAGACGGUCUUGCUGUCACUUAUAGAUGGAUCCGCGCUGCAUUAGCUAGUUGGUAAGGUAACGGCUUACCAAGGCAACGAUGCAUAGCCGACCUGAGAGGGUGAUCGGCCACACUGGAACUGAGACACGGUCCAGACUCCUACGGGAGGCAGCAGUAGGGAAUCUUCCGCAAUGGGCGAAAGCCUGACGGAGCAACGCCGCGUGAGUGAUGAAGGUCUUCGGAUCGUAAAACUCUGUUAUUAGGGAAGAACAUAUGUGUAAGUAACUGUGCACAUCUUGACGGUACCUAAGCAGAAAGCCACGGCUAACUACGU
rnacentral:rRNA from 1 species